rnacentral:rRNA from 1 species
GCAGGCUGCAACUCGCCUGCAUGAAGUCGGAAUUGCUAGUAAUCGCAGAUCAGCAUGCUGCGGUGAAUACGUUCCCGGGCCUUGUACACACCGCCCGUCACACCAUGGGAGUCGGUAACACCCGAAGUCGGUAGCCUAACCGUAAGGAGGGCGCCGCCGAAGGUGGGAUUGAUGACUGGGGUGAAGUCGUAACAAGGUACC